UGGCGGACGGGGGAGUAAUGUCUGGGAAACUGCCUGAUGGAGGGGGGUAACUACUGGAAACGGUAGCUAAUACCGCAUAACGUCGCAAGACCAAAGAGGGGGACCUACGGGGCCUCUUGCCAUCGGAUGUGCCCAGAUGGGAUUAGCUAGUAGGUGGGGUAACGGCUCACCUAGGCGACGAUCCCUAGCUGGUCUGAGAGGAUGACCAGCCACACUGGAACUGAGACACGGUCCAG
rnacentral:rRNA from 1 species